UGUUCGUGCGUGGCACCCGCAGGCCACGACCCAGCCCGGGCCCGGGUCCCCUCCCUCGCUUCCGGCCCCCAGCGCACCCCUGCGUGGGCGGGUUUCCUGCAUCCACUCAUUACUCCUGUCCACCUGGGUCCCCCAAGCCAGGAGUGACUCCUGCCUCGGGCUUUGAAGAAGCUCCCCGGUCCUCAUCCUGCGGGGCUCCGGCCCCGGGGCCCCCCCGGCAUCUCCUCCCACCCAAGCUCACAGCUCUGUGUCCGGAGAAUCACCCCUGGCAUCUGGGUGCUGACAGCCACUGGCCCAGCUGUGGACCUGACAUCGUCUGCCCCUUCCUGCAAAGGCCAAGGUCACCUCUCGCUCUAGGGCUUUCCCGGGCGUAACGGUGCUGGGGAGCGGUGCCGGGAGCCGACCCUCGUCCCGAGGGUGGCAGGGUGCUGAGAGGGGCCACCACCGGCGGGGGACCUCCACUCGCGUCCCCUUCCCUGCUGUCCUCGUCUGCUCGAGCUGCCACACCGGGGGGUGGGGAUGCCCCGGCCACCGUGCUUCCUGCCAGUCCUCGAGGCUGGAAGUCUGAGAUCAAGGUGCCCACCGAUUCGGCAUCUGGCGAGGACUCUGGCUCGCUGUGCUCACCUCCUCCUCUUCUCACAAGGGCUCAAGCCCUACGGCACCAGGGCCCCAGUUCACCUUGUCACCCCUCACAGGCCCCAUGUGCACGCAGAAUCACACUGGGGGUGAGGGGCCUCGGUGUGCGAGUUUUGGGGGGCACAGUCAGGCCACAGCACCCGCCCCACGGCAGAGGGACCUCCGGGGUCUCCCACUGCCUCGCCAUGGGGCUGCUUUGGGUCUGGUUUAGGGGACCUUGAGCUUUGCUCACCGAGGGCGACUGUGUCUGCGACUCCCCACAUUUGCUCAAUUUCUCAGAUUUGUGGACGCGUGUGUCCCUCCUGGCGGAACCUCUCAGAACGAUUCGGCCCCAAGGAGCCUCCAAAGGCACAGGCCCAGACUGAGCCAGACCCAAACCACGUGGCUGCCCCGAGGCCCUCCCCGCUGUGCCCCCACCCCUUCCUUGCAGGCUUUCUCUCCUCCUCCUUGUGUCUGCACCGCACCCCCCCCCCCCCCCCAGGACAGGCUCUGUGCUGACUCUGUGCUGGGAGGGGUCCCCCCAUCACUCCAGCCCCUGCCCUCCCCCCGCCGCUAUCCCCUGAAUAAAGUCUGUCCUCCCCCAA